rnacentral:rRNA from 1 species
GUUGACCUCGGAUCAGGUAGGGAUACCCGCUGAACUUAAGCAUAUCAAUAAGCGGAGGAAAAGAAACCAACAGGGAUUGCCCUAGUAACGGCGAG